rnacentral:lncRNA from 1 species
AAAAUUUGGUGCACACUGAAUAACGCACGUAGCGGGUUAUUUAACAGUGUGCACCACAUUUUUUAUGUUAUUUCGAAUAGACAGAAAAAAUAUAACAGUCAUUUCUUAUAAUUUAAUUCUAAUUUCCAUUUCAAAUCGUAGAAAACCAUGAAAAAACGUUGAUGACGUCACGGUCACAUGACUAAAUUAUGUCUAUGGGCUCAUAACAAAAUAACGUCAGCCAAUCAGAAGAC